GCACCGGUGGCCUCUGGUGGUUAUAGCGUCCGCCUCGGAUGCGGGAGGUCGUUGGUUCAAUUCGAUCUCCGGUAGUG